GCUUGUCUCAAAGAUUAAGCCAUGCAUGUCUAAGUAUAAGCAUUAUACAGUGAAACUGCGAAUGGCUCAUUAUAUCAGUUAUAGUUUAUUUGAUAGUCACACUACUUGGAUAACCGUAGUAAUUCUAGAGCUAAUACAUGCACAAAGUCCUGACCUCUGGAAAGGAUGUGUUUAUUAGAUGGAAACCAAUGCGGGGCAACCCGGUAUAUGGUGAUUCAUAAUAACUUUCGGAUCGAUCUUCGGAUCGAUGCAUCAUUCAAGUUUCUGCCCUAUCAGCUUUGGAUGGUAGGGUAUUGGCCUACCAUGGCUUUAACGGGUAACGGAGAAUUAGGGUUCGAUUCCGGAGAGGGAGCCUGAGAAAUGGCUACCACAUCCAAGGAAGGCAGCAGG
rnacentral:rRNA from 1 species